AAGGGUUUGAUCCUGGCUCAGGAUGAACGCUGGCGGCGUGCCUAAUACAUGCAAGUCGAGCGAACGGACGAGAAGCUUGCUUCUCUGAUGUUAGCGGCGGACGGGUGAGUAACACGUGGAUAACCUACCUAUAAGACUGGGAUAACUUCGGGAAACCGGAGCUAAUACCGGAUAAUAUUUUGAACCGCAUGGUUCAAAAGUGAAAGACGGUCUUGCUGUCACUUAUAGAUGGAUCCGCGCUGCAUUAGCUAGUUGGUAAGGUAACGGCUUACCAAGGCAACGAUGCAUAGCCGACCUGAGAGGGUGAUCGGCCACACUGGAACUGAGACACGGUCCAGACUCCUACGGGAGGCAGCAGUAGGGAAUCUUCCGCAAUGGGCGAAAGCCUGACGGAGCAACGCCGCGUGAGUGAUGAAGGUCUUCGGAUCGUAAAACUCUGUUAUUAGGGAAGAACAUAUGUGUAAGUAACUGUGCACAUCUUGACGGUACCUAA
rnacentral:rRNA from 1 species